CAGUGAAUACAGAAUCACAGUUACUGAGUCUGACAGUGGAGGAUACAGCUGCCGGGGUAAAAGAAGCUUUUCCUGGACGAAGUGGAGUGACACAUUAACUGUAGUAUCGAAACCAAAGGCUGAACUGAGAGCUGAUAGGACAGCUGUUCCAGUAGGGGCAGUGUGACCCUGACCUGCUCUGUGAGCCCAUCAUCAUCAUCAUCAUCAUCAUCAUCUGGAUGGAAAUACUACUGGUACAGAGAUGGGAAAUCUUAUGAAGCUUUGACAAAUGGACUAAUCAGUGUCUCAGAGGGAGGACUCUACAGCUGCAGAGGAGGAAGAGGAGAACCAGUUUACUACACAGAGGACAGUGAGUCAGUCAGGAUUGACACAACUGUGUCAAACAGGCCUGUUGUGACUCUGUAUCCAAACUGGUCUGAGAUAUACAGAGGAGAGACGAUCACUGUCAGAUGUGAGAUCCAUGGAGGAGACA